GGAAGGUGCCCAGGAAGAGAGGUAAAGGAAUGACAAUGAAGGCUACUCUAUCCAGCAUUCAUCUCUUGGGUUGAGCUGUGAGCUCCAUGAGAACUCAGAUGAAAUGACUUUGCACCGUCACAGGAACUUGUCAGGGAAGCUCACCAUUGUCUCUGAUGUUAACAACUGUUGAUCCAAGCCUGCCCAGUUUCCUACCUCCAGUCUUCCCUGGCCCUCCUCUGAAGAUGGAAACUAAGCCAACAGGCUCAGAACUUCCUAUCCUCUCUUCCUAUCUCCAAGGAAAUAGCAGCUCACAGCAGAAGAGUGCAGGGGGAGAGGGAACAGUUAUUUCUCAAGCCAUUAAUACAGUUCUUCUUACACGACUCUGCCUCCUGGCCCACAGUGAUGGACCCAUGGUUGGGAAUGGACCACACAGUGGGCCAGCUGUAAAGCCUGGGUAAGGGAUGGACAUCUGACCCAAGUAGGGACAGUGCAGUACGUGCUUGGAAUUGAUGACCUAGGGACCAAAGAGUAGUGCUCAUUGUCUCUUUGUGGCGGGGUUAGCAGCUCUGAAGUCAUCGGGAUGGCGUUUCCCACCAGAUAGAGGAAGCUGGCCUGUAGCUGAAGGACUGACACCCACACCCAGAGCUGCAGAGAGAGGGGGGCGUAACAGCAGCAUGCCAGAUCCAUUUCCAGCUCUUCUGAGGUGCAGCCACACCUUGACCUUCCUGCAGUCCUCUUAGCCUUCCAAAUACAUUUUCCUUUGAGUGUAAAUGAGUUUAAGGUUCAGAGUCCAUCUGACUUUAGUGGAGCCAUGGAGACUCUUGCUGGAACUGUGCAGCCCAUCUUUGCAUUUUCUUUUGAGUGGCAUCGUCCAGUGAAGAGGAAGAAUAAAUGAGGGAGCUAAUGAGCCAUGACAAGAACAAAAGGCCAGCAGCCAAGAGGAGGGGGAAAUAGGAGCUGGCAGACCAGACCGGACUGCGGCUCCUGAGCUGGUUGUUUCCCUUCUCAAAGGCGCAAGUAAGGUGUCGCUGUCCUUUACUCCGCUCAAAACUUUAGGCCUCCUCUGCGAGGCUGCUCCCCUCCAUGGCACCCACCCACAGGGCAGAAAUGCAGAAAGCAAGGCUUUGCCUCUAGGGUGGGAGGGGAGGGAGGAGCUGGUUCCCAAGGGAACAAGGAAUCCCGUUUGAGAGACUAGGAUGUUCUCAGCCUCAGAACUGGCUUGCGAGCUGGCCAAACAUGCAAAUACCCACAGGUGCAGCAUGUAAAAGAGAAGUGGCCUUGGGUGAGGCUGCAGGGGCAGCUGGCCGCACAUUUUGCAUAUGCUCCUAGGAAGCUAAAGUUAGGCUCUGGUUUACCCCAGGUGUAGGGGCCACAUUUAGCUAUUCCUCACCACUGAGCAAGGGGCUUGCUGCAUUAUUUGGCUAGGGCAGGGUCUGGCUUGCCCUCUGAGUCCUGAAUUGGGUCCCGGGCCAUUGCUGUAUUUGGGUAAGGUUAGGGUAAUCACAACUACUCUUUCCCUUCCCCCAACCAAGUCUGAACAUCAUCGAUUUAACACCUAAGAUGGACUUGAAGGAUUGUCUCCAUCCCAGAGCUAAGACAUCACCAGGAUUCCAUACUAGCAGACCCCAAUCUGGUUUGCUCAUGGACUUCGCCUGUACCAUUUCUCCUAACCAGUCUUCUACAGCAUCACUUGCUCUGCUUGGCACCCUGCCAGCCUCUGACCCCUAGAUGGGCCUUCCUUUUUGUGGCCCAGCCUCAUCCCCAUACCCGAUGCUCUGCUUCUCUGGCCUCCCAUUUUUCUCUCUUCUUUGGCCACAGUUUGAAUUCCUAUUCC
rnacentral:lncRNA from 1 species